UCCAGUCGCAUUUCGCCGAGACGUCCUCGCCAACUGGCCGGCACAGCUGUUUCGCCGCUCCCGUGAGCCUUGCGGAAGCAUUAUGGGACCGCGUGACGGAGCCUUUUCCACGUAAAGGGGCCGUGUGGGUGGCCUUCAGGAACGGGCCGAGGGGUUGCCGCGCGCCCUGCGAUGACGGCGUCCGGCUCCCAGCGUGGCCGAAGCGCGUGGCCUCAGGACGUGGCCGUUCGCAGGAGACCCUGACCGAGAGACGGCAGCCUGGCGAUGGCAGGAAUUUCCCGGAUGGCGAGGCGGCCUUCCUUGGCGCUCCAUGUGGACCCUCCCCGCUGGGCAUCCG